CCAGUUGCGAAGGCGCCACACUGGAACGGAUCCGACGGUCAGGGACGAAGCCUAGGGGCACGAACCGGAUUAGAUACCCGGGUAGUCCUAGGUGUAAACGCUGUGAACUUGGUGUCGGGAGUCCGCAAUGGGCCCCCGGUGCCGGAGUGAAGAUGUUAAGUUCACUGCCUGGGGAGUACGGUCGCAAGGCUGAAACUUAAAGGAAUUGGCGGGGGAGCACUGCAACGGGAGGAGCGUGCGGUUUAAUUGGAUUCAACGCCGGAAAACUCACCAGGGCCGACUGUUAGAUGAAGACCAGCGUAAUGAGCUUGUCGGAUUUUCAGAGAGGUGGUGCAUGGCCGUCGUCAGUUCGUACUGUAAAGCGUUCUGUUAAGUCAGAUAACGAACGAGACCCUCAUCUCUAUUUGCUACCCGUCUCUCCGGAGGCGGCGCACUAUAGGGAGACCGCUGGUGUUAAACCAGAGGAAGGCGAGGGCAACGACAGGUCAGUAUGCCCCGAAUGUCCUGGGCUACACGCGCGCUACAAAGGACGGGACAAUGGGAAGCCAGGCCGAGAGGCCGAGCUACCCCGAAACCCGUUCAUAGUUCGGAUCGUGGGCUGUAACUCGCCCACGUGAAGCUGGAUUCCGUAGUAAUCGUGUUUCAAUAUAGCACGGUGAAUAUGCCCCUGCUCCUUGCACACACCGCCCGUCAAACCAUCUUAGUUGGGGGUGGGUGAGGCUGCGCUUUAUGGCGUAUUCGAGCCUGCCUUCGACAAGGAGGGUUAAGUCGUAACAAGGUAUCUGUAGGGGAACCUGCAGAUG
rnacentral:rRNA from 1 species